rnacentral:rRNA from 1 species
AGUGAACGCUGGCGGUAGGCCUAACACAUGCAAGUCGAACGGCAGCACAGUAAGAGCUUGCUCUUACGGGUGGCGAGUGGCGGACGGGUGAGGAAGACAUCGGAAUCUACUUUUUCGUGGGGGAUAACGUAGGGAAACUUACGCUAAUACCGCAUACGACCUACGGGUGAAAGCAGGGGAUCUUCGGACCUGGCGCGAUGGAGUGAGCCGAUGUCGGAUUAGCUAGUUGGCGGGGUAAAGGCCCACCAAGGCGAGGAUCCGUAGCUGGUCUGAGAGGAUGAUCAGCCACACUGGAACUGAGACACGGUCCAGACUCCUACGGGAGGCAGCAGUGGGGACUAUUGGACAAUGGGCGCAAGCCUGAUCCAGCCAUACCGCGUGAGUGAAGAAGGCCUUCGGGUUGUAAAGCCCUUUUGUUGGGAAAGAAAAGCAGCAGGUUAAUACCCCGCUGUUCUGACGGUACCCAAAGAAUAAGCACCGGCUAACUUCGUG